rnacentral:rRNA from 1 species
UACGUAGGGUGCAAGCGUUGUCCGGAAUUAUUGGGCGUAAAGAGCUCGUAGGCGGUUUGUCGCGUCGAAUGUGAAAACCCGGGGCUCAACUCCGGGCCUGCAUUCGAUACGGGCAGACUAGAGGUAUGCAGGGGAGAACGGAAUUCCUGGUGUAGCGGUGAAAUGCGCAGAUAUCAGGAAGAACACCCGUGGCGAAGGCGGCCCACUGGGCCGGUACUGACGCUGAGGCACGAAGGCGUGGGGAGCGAACGGG